rnacentral:rRNA from 1 species
GACGAACGCUGGCGGCGUGCUUAACACAUGCAAGUCGAACGGUGAAGCGCCUUCCUUUUUGGUGGGUGUGGAUGAGUGGCGAACGGGUGAGUAACACGUGAGUAACCUGCCCCCUUCUUCUGGAUAACCGCAUGAAAGUGUGGCUAAUACGGGAUAUUCUGGGUCUGUCGCAUGAUGGGUCUGGGAAAGAUAUUGUUUCGGUGGGGGAUGGGCUCGCGGCCUAUCAGCUUGUUGGUGGGGUGAUGGCCUACCAAGGCGGUGACGGGUAGCCGGCCUGAGAGGGUGGACGGUCACACUGGGACAGCGACACGGCCCAGACUCCUACGGGGGGCAGCAGUGGGGAAUAUUGAACAAUGGGCGAAAGCCUGAUGCAGCGACGCCGCGUGAGGGAUGGAGGCCUUCGGGUUGUGAACCUCUUUCGCCAGUGAAGCAGGCCUGCCUCGUUUGUGGGUGGGUUGACGGUAGCUGGAUAAGAAGCGCCGGCUAACUACGUG